rnacentral:misc_RNA from 1 species
CAUAAAUUUAUCUUCUCGUUCUCCUGCUCACUCUGCGGUGGCAUAAAAAUAGUGGAAAAGAUGGGUGUGGGUCCCAUUAUUCACCACCGUGAAGCCAAGAAUCUGAGACCUUUCUUUUCUUUUCUUUCCUUUCCUAGUAAAAACAGACCCACAUAACAAGAAAAUUUGAAUGCACCAUCCAUUUAACAUUUUUUCACUAUUAUCAUUCAUUCCCACUGAUUCUUUGAACAUGGAAACUUCAAUUACUUGGAGCAGAGAAGAAGAGAAAGCUUUUGAGAAUGCAAUUGCUACCCAUUGGACUGAGGAGGAUGAAGAAUCCAAAGAGCUAUGGGAAAAGAUUGCUUCUAUGGUGCCUGGUAAAAGUAUUCAAGAAUUGAAACAACACUACCAAUUACUAGUUGAGGAUGUUUGUGCAAUAGAGGCAGGAAAUAUACCCCUUCCUAAUUAUGGAGGAGAGGAAGCAACAUCUUCAACUAAGGAUUCUCAUGGAAAUUCUGGAGCAGUGGCUAGAGAUAAGAGAUUGAAUUCUGGUUAUGGAAGUGGGGUUUUGGGGUUAGGACAUGACUCUUCUGGACAUGGUGGGAAAGGAAGAUCAAGGUCUGACCAAGAAAGAAGAAAAGGAAUUCCAUGGACAGAAGAAGAGCAUAGGUUGUUUCUGCUGGGUCUUAACAAGUUUGGAAAAGGUGAUUGGAGAAGCAUAUCAAGAAACUUUGUGAUAUCAAGGACUCCUACUCAAGUAGCCAGUCAUGCUCAGAAAUACUUCAUUCGGUUGAACUCAAUGAAUAGAGACAGGAGGAGGUCUAGCAUCCAUGACAUUACUAAUGUGAACAAUGGAGAUGUAUCGUCUCAUCAAGCACCCAUUACUGGCCAGCAAGCUGACACAGGUGCCGCCGCCGCUAUAGGAACUGUAGUGAAGCUGAGGGUUCAACCCCAUAUGACUGGUUUAGGAAUGUAUGGUGCACCAGUUGGGCAUCCAGUUGCUCCUCCAGGUCAUGUGGCAUCAGCUGUUGGGACUCCUGUUAUGCUUCCUCCUGGACACCAUCCUUCCUAUGUUGUUCCUGUCCCUUACCCAAUGGCACCACCACAAACAAUGCACUAAUAAUAAUGCAUCUCUCUCUCUCAGUUCGAAGAUUGAAGAGAUUGUGAUGAAUGCCAAGGAAGACGAUUCUUUUAGCUGGGUAUUGGAACAGAGAUUUAUUGAUGUAGAGUAGCAACAUAAUAAUUUGGCAUAUCAUCGACCUUGUCUGAUUAAUAAGUCAAAUGCAUUUCUCGUCCAGAUUUGUUCGUAUCCAAUCUUAAAAUGCCCAGCGUAUUUGAUAGAAGAAUUAUCAAUGAUAACCACCCUCCUCUAUACUGCUGUGAAAUUUCUGUUGCUGCUUAUAAAACAUUAGAAAUCCAUCUCUUUUUUCAAUCCGUCACAUCGAUUUUUAACCCAACUGGGAUUAGAAAUGAUAACACCAUUUUCAAUAUUCUCCCUCUUUCCCCUACUUCUACCAAGAAAACAGCAACAUUCUCGUAGAUGAAGCGUCUUUUAAACCACAAUUGGUAAUGCUGUCUUCUCACAAAAGCAAAGCUGAUGUCUGAGUUGCAGUCUUGAAGUAGAUGCUAAGCAGUCAUGGCACCAGCAAAAUUAACAUGCCAUUAGCUUGAGUUGCAACUUGGUGCCUGAGUUGAUCUCAUGUCCAAUUAUGGCCUUCAUGGUAUUAAAAAUACGAGGUGGGGGAUAACAGUGAAUGGAAGGCAUUGUUUGAAUUAGCAAAUUAGUAAGUGAUAAAAGAGGACAAAUAAAUAAAUAAAAAUGUCAAUUCUUUGACCAAAGCAACUAAUAUGUGAUAUUAUCGGUAAGGAAUCAGCAUCCUAAACAAAAAGUUGUAUUGCAACUACUAAUAACAAAAAUUCACAAAACUGAAGCAGAUGAACAAGGAGAGGAUCUAGUCAGCCGCAGUUGAUCUUAUCAAAGAUCCCACCAAGUAAAUGAUACAAUAAGCUCUCCUACGCCUCUUUUUAAUUUGUUUUUCUGCAGGUAAAGGUCAAAAAAAGAUUAUUUUGCUAUCUAAACAUAUUUCUGAAUUGCAGAUCAAUUCCAUUUCCUUUCCAUUUUCAAAGCAACCAAGAGAAUAAAAAAGAAAAAGAAUAAAAAAAAUACAAGCCUAAAUUUAAACCAUCAACCAUUAACUUGACUGAAAAGUUGAUAGAAGGACUGGGAACCACUCAUUUUUACUCUCAGAACAGUAUGCUUCCCAUUGCAACUCAAUUUUGCAACACUAGACUCCAGAGAAAGAUCAAAAGUGCAUCUGAAUCUUCACUACUUCCAGAACAGUUUGCAGGCCAGCUUUAGAAGGGACAGGGUUGCCUAAUUCAAGACCAGUGCCUUCACCCAGCAAUACCCCUUUUUUUUUUCUGGUAAAAACAAAGCCAAGAAGAACUUUAGGCAAAAAGUUAAGAAUGGUGAUGACAGCACACUUGAGACAACAGUACAGAGUAAUUCUCUAAAAACUCCCCAUCCAUCAAGUAAAGGUAAUUCUGAUCUUGCAGUUUGUGUAUAUUUUUUAUACAUAUAUAGAGAAAUGGAUCAGAUCAGCACUAUUAUCCACUGCCCAAUAAGGAAAUGUUCUCUAGUAUAACGAGCUUGCGUAUUUCAGAUAAAUGACGGUUCACCUUAAUCACUUCAGUAGCAGAAGAGGAUAUGGAGCGUAGAUUGUAGCCUCAAGAAUAACAAGCAACUUUCCACCAGAAAGAGUAUACAACAUAUGUGUCAUCUGUGCAUAGCCAGCAGGAGUUACAUGCAACGGAAUUGCUAAGAUGUCAAUGUAUAGAAAUACAAAAAUCAAAAUUACAGAAAAGAUACUCCAAGAAAGUAGAAUUGGCAUAAAAGUCGAGUGUGUUGAAAGGACUACUGCCAAAAAUACCCUACGUUAUACAAUUAAAAUUCAUCUGACAGUUUGACAAGAGAACACCAUGGAAACAAUCAAAUAGCUAUGGCAGUAGUUAUGUUUGAUUAAAUGAUAAACUAUGAAACUAUAACAAAUCAUUUAGACAAAAGGGAAAGUCCUUAAAUCACAGCAGCCCAAAGGAUCACCCCUUGCUGCAUCAAAACCAACAGAUAUGAUGGUGAAAUCAGGCACAAACUCAGCAGCUGCAAUAAUAUGGUUCCAACACCUUGAAGUGUUUAGUACAGAGUAUUACACUGGCUAUUCGAAACAAAAUGACUGCAAACCAAACCAAAAAAUUGAAUUUAAGACCACAGCUAAAUCCUCCAUGGAACAAAAAAUGAUGAGUAAACAUGCAUUAAUCACAGCCAACAUAAUAAAUCUUUGAUUAGUCAUAUGCUGUCAUCAAGGACAGUUUGGUUGCAAUUUGCCUAUUUCAAGCAUUAAAAAACACCAUGACAAUAGAGCAGCCUGCACCCGAGCUCAAUGCAAAGCAACACAAGGAACCUUAGAGAUUGAUAAACAGAAACAGUACACAAUUUAAGAGAAACAUUUACAACUUCCAGUUGCUCCCAUUUCAGCCACUUCAUCCUAAUCCCAAAUCAGCACCAACUAACAGUUGAAGACCAUUCCAAAAGGCAAGACCACACAGCAAUGACAUUAAUAUUAACAAAAGAGAGAGAAAAGAGAAGAGAAGAGGAUGAGAAGAACAACAACAAAAGAAAAGAUGGACAUGAGCACCAACCAGCAGCUUUAACAAAACACUAUUGAUAGCAUGCAAUGCCUUCUGUAAAUUUUAAAAUAAAAAGUACUUCCCAAAACACUGGUGAGCUAUGAUAAUAGGCAGUUGACCACCACUCAACCCACCCACAUCAACAUGCAGACCUUCAAUAUUUCACAUCGACAUUUGGUUAACUCGAAGGCCUUCACAUUACAAAACCAAUACUGCAUGCUGCCCACCAUCCCCACCAAAAUGAGAGCAGAUGCAUGAAUAACGUGAGAUAUUAACCUAUAGGUAGCACAACAUGCUGAAAUGCAAAAAUGUAAUCAUUAUCGCCAACCCCUCCACGACUCCAUGGAAUAUUUACACAAUAUCCUGCUGCACCUUCAGUACCGAU